GACGAACGCUGGCGGCGUGCCUAAUACAUGCAAGUCGAACGGAAUCUAAUAGUUGGCUUUUAAUCCAUGGUUUUUUCUUCUAGGGAAAAGAGCAAAGUAACUUGCCCAAAGCUUGCUUUGGGUCGGCUUUGCCGAUUGCCCGAUGAGAAAAACCGUAGGUUUGGUCUGAUAUGGAUUUAGUGGCGGACGGGUGAGUAACACGUUGGUACCUACCCUCUAGUGGGGAAUAAUUCCGCGAAAGCGGGACUAAUACCGCAUAAUACCGCAAGGUUAAAGCAGUAAUGCGCUAGAGGAGGGGCCUGCGUCCCAUUAGCUUGUUGGCGGGGUAAUUGCCCACCAAGGCGACGAUGGGUAGCUGGAUCGAGAGGUUGACCAGCCACACUGGGACUGAGAUACGGCCCAGACUCCUACGGGAGGCAGCAGUAAGGAAUCUUCCACAAUGGACGAAAGUCUGAUGGAGCAACGCCGCGUGCAGG
rnacentral:rRNA from 1 species